GCUGAGUCCGAGCCAGAGGAUCCAUUAGUGCUGAUUGAGGAGCACAAGGGUGCAGACGUAACCCUGAGAGAAGGGACAAAGACACUGUUAGCAACAAGCUGGUGACUAUGGUGGAGCAUUUAGCCGCUAAGGCAGCAGAUGUUUGGUAGAGAUCAAACACAGAGCUUAAAAGAUGAAGAUGAAGAUGAAAAAGAACAUGCUGGGGGGAGAGGAGGCUUCUGCCUCUCAUCUCUGUCUGCGUGUCAGACGGGAGCAGGGAGAGGAUCACUGGAGAGGAGCUGGGUGAGGGCCACAGAGGGGAGACAGCACACGGAUGAUGGGCCGGGUGCUGCAGAGAGCACUGAGACUGCGUUGAGGAGGUCACACUCCAGCACACUGCGGAGUGACAGUGUUGGGCUGGGUGUCACAUCAGGAGGUUGCCUUAUUGUCACAAGCAGGAGGUCGCAUGAUUGACGUGAUGACGUAAUACACACACCGCGCGCGCACACACACACACACACGUUUCCUUUACAUUUACAUACACUUGCAAAAUGUACAAAUGUGAUACCAUGUUUGUUUUUCAGUGGAGAUGAAGAUGUUGCUGUAUGAAAACAGGUUAACUUAUUAUCGCUAUUCAAUACAUACAUUUACAUUUUAUCAUAUGUGCUUUCCAGUAUUUUUUCAUAUUGUGUAAUCUAUAGAUAUUCAGUAGAUACAGUAUACAUCUGUCCUGUCCCCCCUGCAAUUACCUUCUGACCACAAGGUGGAGCUACGUGGACUAAAACAUAGAUACAACCUCCUAUAACUUUGACAUUUGUUUAGUUUUCUUCUCUGGAACGGACCUAUUUUACAUAAAAUAUAUGAUAACAAACAAGAUUAGGAGUGUGACCCCCUUACAUCCAAAACAAAGUAUCAUUUCAGAAAUCUGGUUUAGAUAACAAGUACCAAAUACUGUGCUGUCCUUUCCUUCCAACAUACAGUCUACACUCAACACAACAUAAAGCAGGCCUCAGCCUUACGUGCUAAAAGCUGCUGAUAAAUACGAGAACUGAUGUAUCUAAGACAGAGCGCCAUAUGAUGACUAAAUGAGCUGCCAUAUCUCUUAACCUUCAGACUUUCUUGGAAACACCCGAGGAGCUAAAUGUUACAACUUCCUCCAGCCAAUUAUCUUCUGCCAGACUCCUGAGGAAAAACUGUAGCAUUGAAGACACAGACACGAGGUCCAGACUGGACAGAGGAGGAAGAUUUAAGUGUGUUGUGCACAGAGAGACAUUUAUUUUAUUGCAACCUUAUUGUUUUAGUGUUAUUAAUGUGAAAAAAACACAUCUCUAAUAAACAGGGGGGAUAAAGUAAGAGCUUUAGCAGAGGAACUGAGCCAAAGCACAAACACAACAGCCUCACAAGUCACUUUUUGAUUCAUUGCUUUUCAAAUGGUGUUUCCAGUUUUUUGGACACGAUGAGGUUUAAAGCUGCAGUGAGCAUCUCAAUCACAGUAACACAAGGACAACAACCUGCAUCUUCAGUCACCGUCCACUAGAUGUCACUGUAUUCCAAAGAUUAUAAAGCUGGCUGAUGCAUUUGUGCUCUGAAGAGAAAGCAACAAGUUCAUGUGCUUUCCUUUGAAAAGCUCAACCACAAAAUCAUUAGUGUGUAAUGUAGCACACUGUGGUGUGACUUGGUUUACUGUGUGUUUUGCGUUUAUUUGGGCAAUAAACUACCCUCAAAAUAUGAGUACGGGGAGGGUGGAGAUCGUUUUUUAAAGUGUCCAAAGAGAACACUUACACUCAGUUACUUGUAAUGAUGCCAUCAGAUACACUAAUGAACAAAAGAUGCACAAGGUGGAGCAUCUUUGGUGUACUAUUCAUACAAUAUGAUUAGAUUAGAUUAGAUUAGAUUAGAUUAGAUUAGAUUAGAUUAGAUUAGAUUAGACUAGAUUAGAUAGGUGUUAUUUUUCCCACAACAGGGAAAUUCACUUGUUACAUCAGCUCAAGAUGCAAGUACAGGAAAAAGAAUCAGACAAAUACACAUAGUUAAAUAGAAAAUAGAUAGUAAAAACUGUAUGUACGUAUCGUGAAUACUGGGAUACUGUGACACCCCUAGUUUGAUGAAAAUCCAUCAAAAUAAAAAAACUAAAAAAACUUCAUAAUUACAUGAAAAGUUGACUUGGAAGUAUGCUUUCUGCUAAAGUGAGCUUCUUCAUAUUCAUCUUAAUCAGCACUCCCACCGUUGCAAAAUAUGUCUAAUCCAUUAAUAAAUGCUUGCUUUUCUAUAUCAGAUUGAGUUCAGUCUCUGAAUGUGUUCCAUAAUGAUGUUUAUUCUAAUCAACGUCACACACAUCUGAAUG